rnacentral:tRNA from 1 species
GCCGAGGUGGUGGAAUGGUAUACAUGUACGAUUGAGGUUCGUAUGCCGUAAGGCUUGGGGGUUCGAGUCCCCUCCUCGGUA